rnacentral:antisense_RNA from 1 species
CUUGACCGUGCCCAGCCACAGCGGGCGGUCGGCCGGGCGGUCGUUGCCGUAGGACUUCAGCAGGGCCUGCGCCUC